GCCGGAAUGACGGUGGAAUUGACGUGCGAAUCUCACGCCGGCAAACCACCCGCCGAAGUAAGUACCGUUCUUUUGACUCGGACGGCAAACUAUUUAUCCAAGACGCCCGCCUCGAAUGUUCCAGAUGUGGCGCGCAAUUUUCCCUCAGCCAAAAAUGGCCGGCCCGAAUAUCCCGGAUAAAUUCGAGUAUUCUGGCGUCUUGGGCAAUAGUGGUCGGUCCCCGGUUUUCCGUUUAUUAGAGGUGAUAUACAAUAGUGUAGCGUUUGAUGGAAGGAGAAAAUCUUUGCUCGACAUACAAAGUACAACGUAUCGGCGGGACGCACCGUACCGUGUUGGAUCGAACGAAUACGGUCUACUUCGGUAAGCCAAUGCUAGAUAGCGUGGCGGCAGAAAGUUGGCCCACUGGUCGGGGAACGACUACACGCAUUUUGGGAAAAGGUAGCGGAGACAAUUCCAGACGCCGAAUAUUUUCUGGUGGUAAAAUGAUUUUCAGUUAUUCGACGGUGGUAGACGGGAACCGUGGUCGACGAAAUAGAUUUGGCGAAUUUAAUUUCAAAAAGCGCAGACGGAUCAGUUUGUCCAAAUUUUUCUGGCGGAUUUUCUUUUUGGUCCAAAUAACUUCCGAAUAGAUCAAAUAUUUUCGGCCGUUGUUUUCGGCUAGGUUAUUUCUUCGACUUUUAGGACACUAGGCUGCCGAUAUUUAGGUUGGUUAAGCCGCCAUAUACUUUGAUAUACUGUAUCUGGCGGCACCAGGGAUAUACUGUACUACUUUAAGCCGCACCAGGGAUACACUGUAUCUGGCGGCGGCCACUUAUACAGCCCAUCACAGGCUAGCCAACACCCGUGAUGGG
rnacentral:lncRNA from 1 species